rnacentral:lncRNA from 1 species
CAUUUUAGGACCACACCAGAGGCAAUAUGGAGGUUCCAGGCUGGGGGUCAAAUCAGAGCUGCAGCUUCCAGCCUACACCACAGCUCACAGCAACGCCAGCUCCUUCACCCACUGAGCAAGGCCAGGGAUCGAACCUGCAUCCUCCUAGAGGCUAGUCAGAUUCAUUUCGCUGAGCCACUACGGGAACUCCCAGGACUCUUUUCUUUUUCAUGUAAAUACCAUUAUUACCGUGACACAAAUUCACAGUAUUUCCUGAACAUAUAUCAUCAGGGAGCACCUACAUGUUGAGGAGAAUUUCGCAGCUGGCCUAAGCCACGUUUCCUGAUUAUGUUUUUCCUCCAGCCAGUGGGCUUGUCUUCCUCGAAGACUUCCUCCUCUUUUAAAAAUUCACUCUGGUCCUCCUUAACACUGGCACUUUCCCUUGCUGGACAUGAGGGCCCCUCUCGCUCCCCUCCCCCUGCCCCACCCUGGAUGGCUGUGCCUGAGGACUGGCUGUUUAGCACAGAAGAUGUUACAUGCUCAAGGCUGCCACGCAGGCUGUGCUGGGGGUGGCUGGCCGUUGGCAGCUGCCUAACUACAGCCAGGGUGACGGAGAACGGGUCACCAGAACACAACAGAGUGGACAGACGGCCAGAGCCAACUUAGGCAGACUUUAAAAAAGUCAAAGCAUCCGAUGUUACAGUGACUGUGGUGUAAGCGGCAGCUGUACCUCCUAUUGGACCCCUAGCGUGGGAACCUACAUAUGCUGCAGGUGCAGCCCUAAAAAAAGCGGAAAAAAAAAAGUAAAAUCAAGUGUUCAGAUGGAUUCUCUUCGCUGUUGGUCAGGAACUGGGGUGAGGGGCUGACAUGGAGCAGAAAGCAUUCUGGAUACUCAGAUUUGAGGAUCUGCCAGACCCCUACCUUUAUCUCCCACCCCCCGGCAGCAGCACCUAUGAAGGCCUGAGGACCAUUAACGACAGUAACAAGCGCCCCUAGCACGGACCUUUCCUUUCAGGUCACAAAUCUGUCACAUAUGCUACCUCUGUGAGUCCCUCAGGCGGGGCACCAGGAUACAACCAACACUCUGAGGGGUUCAGUGACUCACCCAGUUUCACACGCUCUCAGCGGCAGAACCACCUAGAAGCCUUUGACACCAAGCCCGUGCUCCUUCCACACACACAAAGUUCACAAGGCCUGCACUAGCGUGUAAUUAGUAGCCUGAAGACUAAGAACAAUAUCAGGAAAAACAACUGCAAACACUUAGCACUUAGCCUGCACCAGGCACUUCCCAUUAACUCACUUAAUCCUCCAACAAUUCAGUGAUUUAGGAGCUCUUAUUAUUCCUAAGUCACAGACAAGACACCAAGACACAGAGAAGUCAGAUGACGUGGCCAAGGUCACGCUGCCAGUAAGGAUUUGAAUGGGAAAUGAAGCUUUAGGGCAGGAACACUCAAAAGCUUAUAUUCUGAAAAAAGGAAAAGAGGGGAAAAAAAUUACAAAAGUUUCUUUUCUGUGGAAAAGCAUUACAGCAAUUGAAAGGAUCAUUACUCUCUUUUAAGCAGCCUGGGCCCUGGAAUAGACCUUGGCCUGGCCUCUGAGACUUGUCUCCUGUUGAGAGACCUCACCAGGAAGAGGUGACAGAGACAUCCAUGCAGGACGUGGUCUGAGUCUGGCUGAAGAGGGCUGGGGGCUGAAGCGGCCCGUCUCCUUGCUCUGUGUCAACCUUAGGACGAGCCAGAAUGAGUCACUCUGGCAGGGGGACCUGACAACAUUUAGGCUUCUGGAAAUGUUCAGUAAGAUCUAGCGGUUAGUGCCCUUGCAUAAUUCUAAAUACAUGCAAAGAGAAACCAGCGUUCUUACUUGGGAGGCUAUCUGUGGGUACGAAAAAGGCGCACAAAGAAAAGCCCAUGGAGGAAUGGACCCUCCGGCCAGGGGCCUAGGGCUGUCACACACACUCCUGCACACCUCACUGCUUUGUCGCCCUGCUUCUGGACUUUGCCGUCAGUAGGCAAAAGCCAGCCGCUGUCUUUUACCGUCGCAGGGUGUGCGUGGGAGGGGCUAUUCUUUGCUACAACAGCUCAGGAUUAAUUUUUGUAAUCUCUGAAACCCUAGUGGAAGUUUGGGGUGAUUUUUAGUAGUUGGAGCUUCAAGAGGGUUUUGAUGUUCCUGGUUUGUGGGCAGAACGCAGCGAGUGGCCGCCGAGCCGCAGGCCGCUCCCCGGUGCCGUCCUAUUUGCAUGUGGACCCGGAUGUGUCUUUGGCUGCUUGUACGGUUUGGGAUGAGACCCUCGCGUCCCAGGGGAGGGGGGCAGGUGUUGCUCCAGUCGAGCGAAUGGAACCAAAUUACAGGCCCGUCUGUCACCUCCUCUGGGAGAAGGUGGAGGGAGGGAGGGGACGGGGGGCGGGGAGGGGGAGGCGGGGGAGGGGAGAGGCCACUCGCCCGCCUCCUGAGGAGCCCGGCCUGUGCGAACCCGAGAGGCUGUGGAGCGGGGUGGCAUGGCCACCCUGGGGACGAGGCGCGCGCCCGUGCCCCCGAGCUCUUCACUGACCCACCGCGCCCCGUGGCCAUUUAGGCCGCGUCUACGCGGCGCCCGCCAGGAGUCACAGUGGAAUUGGUUUUCACUAAAUUGACGGAUAUGUUUUCAGACUGCGCUGACUUGGGGCUGGGUUUCUAUUCCACCAAAUCUCCUGAAAACAGAAACAGCCAACAGAUCUAUUCCCUUGCUUUUUGGUCUAGCGCGCGCGCAUACACACACACAUAUACAAUUUAAGCCACACCAAUUUGCACGUGUAGACACAGAUGUACCACGUGAUUGUCGCCUAGGGUGGGCACAGCUACAGCACCUCUGCAGGGGUUUGUCCUUCAGAGAGGUGGGGGUGGGGUGGGGUGGGGUGGGGGUGGCGUGAGGGAGGGAGAAUGCGGCUCCACGAAGGUUUCUGGAAGUUCCUCUGAGGCCACCAGAUAUAAGCAGAGACAACACGACCGCUUUGCUGUCUAGGGCAGCCUCUAGUGAUGAGAUGAGCCUUCUCCUGAGGGCUGCGGUGGGGCAGAGUGAGGCUCUUCUAUGCUACCUGAGAAAAACACAAACCUAAUGUGGGAUAAGGUGGGUCUUUGGUGAAACCCCGCGGACGGGAAUCAUAAAUUGCGUCAAUUGCUCUCUUGUAAAUAGAGCCGUCCUACCAAGUAUGUAAGAGAGACUGCGGGCGCGAGGGCGGGGUUGCGGGGGAUCUCAAAGCAGAGAGAGCGGUUCUAAUAAGAAGCAAGUCCUUGUCACAUUCUCCAGACUGUGUGGCGAACACAGCGUUUCACACAUCUGACUCUUUCUUCUCCCUGCCUCUGGGGCAGGAAGGUUAAAGCAAUUGUCAUAUUCCACUAACGCUUUCAGUAAGAAAAGAACUGCAGCAGAGAGUGCUGGUGUGCUGCAGGCCCAGGAAGAGACACAGUCCUUCCUCUUUUCAUCAACAAUAAAGUGAUUGACAGAGACACUUCCC